UGUAACUAUCUGGUGGUUAAAAUAAUUUCCCAUUCAAAUAUUUUUCUAACUUUUUAAUAACCCUAAUCGUUUCAAUUUGGGGGAGGAAGGGGGGUUAUGUUUGAUAGUCACUUUUGUUAUUUACACAAGUAAUAUUUUCCCUUCAUUUUACUUGUUUAGUCAAGUAUGCUCUUUACAAUAAAGUCCUGACUGCUAAUCUCUAUUUGCUGACUGACAUUUUUGUUUGUUUGUUUCCCCCAGGGUGAUAUUUGGGGAGGUAGCUUCUGAUGCUGCAGCAUGACCCUGGGUUGUGUUAACUGUGACCUCAAAUGUCUUGAGCAUUUCCCCCAAAUGUUCCAAAUCCUCCCUGCUCCCCUGAAAAAGUCAGUCAGUCAGAAAUGUUGACGGUUAUUUUUUUUUAACUGGCAGUGCAGCUAGAUUAAGCCACUUGGGCUAAAUCACAUCUUCCGCGCUGGUGCUUUACACAGUUUAUUCUUCCCAACUGGAGAACAGCACAGACCCUUCUACCCCACGUAAACUGUUGGAGUGGAAGGGGAAGAUGCUUUGAGGAAAUUUCCUGUCUAUUCUCCUGUGAUAGUUCAUCCGAACUGUAUGUCCUUGAUUCUCCACUAGAGGUCACUGGCCCAUCGCAGUCUUGCUGCACCUAGUUCCACCUCCAUUUCCUCUUACUCAAAUUAGCACCGCGUUAAUUAACACUGUAGUCCAUCAACGGGCGUUUCUCUGUACAGUACAGGAGCAGAGCUUAUAUAGACAAACCAACCCAAAUAUAAAAAGCACCUACCAAAACUCUUCAUCAUGUACAAAAUGGGAAGCGCACGUCUGAGUGACCGGGGGCAAGAUUCAGAUUAAGAAGAAGGAUCACAAGGGAUGGCAAUCAACAAGAAAUGAAUAGAAGAUGGCUUGUGAGUUAUGUAGAGGAGAAUGACUGAAAUGACUGUUUGGAAUUAUUCUGGGAUUAGACUAGAAUGGGGUCUACUCUGCCAAUCUAAGGAUACUCUUCCUGACCACAGGUAUGCUGCUGGGACUGAGGUGGAGUGUAUGGGUGGAUUAAUCUUUGGGUUUCUGGCCCAUUUCUACAUCUCUCUGGCUCAUCUUCAAAACAAAAACUGUCAGCUAGGAAAAGCUUGAAGACUCAUGGCCACAGAUUCAUUAAAACACUUCCUCAUCUGAUUGAUCUUUCAUCCGGGGAAUAACUCAUUGUGGAAACCUACCCACUCAGUAUGAAGUUUCUUAAACUCUUUUAUGGAGUCUGGUUAACAAUUACAUGGAUUUUUGAGGAACAAAUCCAGAGCUUUGACUGAAUGAAAUAUACUGAAACCAAAAAGAAAAGCUUGGUCUUGAUUAUCAAUAUUACAGAUUAGCUUGAAGGAAAUAAUUAUUACCAAUCUGUACCAUAACAGCUAUACUUAACUGCAAUGUGACAUUUAAGGUCUGUGGAGCAGGGGAUGUCUUUUUGUUCUUGGCCUGUAUGGCAUGCAGCACAAUGAGGUUCUAAUCCAUGAUUGGAGAUCCUAAAUGCUCCCAUAAAAUAAACAAUGAUAUAUUAAUAAUAAUAUUUCUAUUAUUCUAUUUGGAUUGUUGCUUUAAUUUUAUUUUUGAAGAUUUAUCAUUUAUCUUUAGCUCUUGGAGCUAAACUGCCAAAGGCUCAUGCAUCAGGCCACUCCCAAAGCAUAUAUAGUCCUAAGGCCUGAUUCUCAUCUUUUAGAAAUGUAAGGUCCCAGUCUGGUAGUCAGAUCUAUGUGAGCAGUACCUAGGGACUGUGCAAAGCCCACUGACUUCAGUGCAGGUCCAGGCAGGCAUAAAUGUCAACCCACACAGCUCUGAUCGCAGGAAAGCAGCCUUCAAACACAAGGGACUCUGUAGAAGUCAGAUGUAGUUAGACCUAGGUAAAAUAGUGAUGUUAGCAAAAGGAGAAUAGGACCCAAAACACAUUUGCAUGUGCACAUUCAACCAAAGAAAUAAAACACCUGCACAUGUAACCCACACACCUUCUGGGUGUGCUGUUCUGUCCCAUCUAGUGGCACUGAGACCACUUAAAGAGAGGGGUAAAAUGAUUCUGCUGUUUUAAAAUGAGUCUGCCAGCUGGCUUUUAGCUCAUGCAUUAGUGGCUCAUGCACUAAGCUCAAGAGGUCCCUGGUUCAAUCCUGAUGACCAGGGUUUAUCGCGUUACACAUACAUAUGCAGAUGUGGGCUUUGCCGGUGCAAUGGGUGGUGCACAUUUUGUGUCCUUCACCUCUUGCACUGGGCUUUGAAAAUAUGGCCAUUUUAAUCAAUCCAGUUGUUUAUAGCCAUCUCUUAGGUGUAAUGAACAAAUAGAUAUCAAAGAAAUUGAAGUUGGUUCAUUAGAAAUCUUUUCAUUUUUUAUAAUUUUAAAAUGGAAAUCUACAGGGAAAAUACCAGAUUCAUUGCUAAUAGGUGAAGUGUGACUUUUCCAAUAUGUUAAGAUUAUAUUUUAUUAGUUCAAGAAAAAUAUGGUUAUAGAAAAUUAUAUAUUUACCACUCCUUAAAAGAUUUUGCAGAAUUUUCUGUCUUCUCUCUGUUUCUUUCACAUGAUAUUUUACCUUUUCUGAUAUUUAUGCUUUUUGUUUCACAUGUUCAGCAAUCACAAUAUAUCUCUUAUACUCAUGGUUUUCAAUCAAAAUAUAUUUAAAAUUGCAUUUAAUAAAUACCUUUAAAAUAGUAUCAACAGAAUUUUAUUUUUGUUGAUAUUUCUGGCUUCACUAUAUGUCAAAAUGUAAUUGGUUUGUUAAGGACCAAUCCUACAUUCCUAAUUCAAGAUAAAACUUCCAUUGAAAUCAAUGGGAAGUCAAUUGUCUUGGUAUGGAUUUCAAGGUUGAGCCUUUAGCUUAGUUUUAUGAGUGUAACUGAGCCUUAAAUAAUUUUUCUUACCAUUGUCUGGCAGAACAUUUUUUCCACCAGUCUAGUUUAACUGGUGGUGUAAUUAAUAUGUAUAAUUCCAAAUUUUGUAAUAAAAUAAACUGCAUAUAUUGUUAA